rnacentral:piRNA from 1 species
UGGAAAGUGUCUAGCAUCUGGUUAUGUUGUU